rnacentral:sRNA from 1 species
AUUAUGGCUCAUGUCUUCUCGCUUCAAAUCUGAUCAGAAUAGAUAACUGUUUGAAUGACAUCUGUCAGGAGGAGAGGUUGAAACUUUCUUGUUGAAAAGAUAAAGCCUCUAUAUUCUCUCAGUGUUUUUCCAUCUAGUCUUUUUCCCUGUAAUUAUUAAGUAGAAUCUUUCCAGUUGUUUAUGGUGGCUAUUCAACCAAGAGCCUGGAAGACUUUAUGUUGAGUUACAGUUUUUUUGUGCUGUGUUUAACUUUGGUCAGGGAUUUAUUUCCUUUGGAAUCUUUGGAUUAGAUAAACAUUUAAUCAUCCUACCUUUCAAAAGAAGACUUGAAUUCCUAUGGAACAAUAAAGAAACAGCAGAAAACAGAGAUUCUCCUGUUUCAGAGGAAAUAAAAAUGACCUGUCAACAAUUUAUCCAUUAUCACCGUGACCUCUGUAUCCGAAACAUUGUCAAAGAAAGAAGGUGUGGUGCAAAGACUUCUGCUGGAACUUUCUGUGGCUGUGACCUGGUGAACUGGCUAAUUGAAGUCGGCCUUGCCUCUGACCGUGGUGAAGCUGUGAUAUACGGAGACAG